UACGUAGGGUGCGAGCGUUGUCCGGAAUUAUUGGGCGUAAAGAGCUCGUAGGCGGUUUGUCGCGUCUGCCGUGAAAGUCCGGGGCUCAACUCCGGAUCUGCGGUGGGUACGGGCAGACUAGAGGUAUGCAGGGGAGAACGAAUUCCUGGGUGUAGCGGUGAAAUGCGCAGAUAUCAGGAGGAACACCGGUGGCGAAGGCGGAUCUCUGGGCCAUUACUGACGCUGAGGAGCGAAAGCGUGGGGAGCGAACAGG
rnacentral:rRNA from 1 species